CGGGCCUCUCGCGUCAGGAUAUGCCUAGGUGGGAUUAGCUAGUUGGUGAGGUAAUGGCUCACCAAGGCGACGAUCCCUAGCUGGUCUGAGAGGAUGAUCAGCCACACUGGAACUGAGACACGGUCCAGACUCCUACGGGAGGCAGCAGUGGGGAAUAUUGCACAAUGGGCGCAAGCCUGAUGCAGCCAUGCCGCGUGUGUGAAGAAGGCCUUCGGGUUGUAAAGCACUUUCAGUCGUGAGGAAGGUAGUGUAGUUAAUAGCUGCAUUAUUUGACGUUAGCGACAGAAGAAGCACCGGCUAACUCCGUGCCAGCAGCCGCGGUAAUACGGAGGGUGCGAGCGUUAAUCGGAAUUACUGGGCGUAAAGCGCAUGCAGGUGGUUUGUUAAGUCAGAUGUGAAAGCCCGGGGCUCAACCUCGGAAUAGCAUUUGAAACUGGCAGACUAGAGUACUGUAGAGGGGGGUAGAAUUUCAGGUGUAGCGGUGAAAUGCGUAGAGAUCUGAAGGAAUACCGGUGGCGAAGGCGGCCCCCUGGACAGAUACUGACACUCAGAUGCGAAAGCGUGGGGAGCAAACAGGAUUAGAUACCCUGGUAGUCCACGCCGUAAACGAUGUCUACUUGGAGGUUGUGGCCUUGAGCCGUGGCUUUCGGAGCUAACGCGUUAAGUAGACCGCCUGGGGAGUACGGUCGCAAGAUUAAAACUCAAAUGAAUUGACGGGGGCCCGCACAAGCGGUGGAGCAUGUGGUUUAAUUCGAUGCAACGCGAAGAACCUUACC
rnacentral:rRNA from 1 species